ensembl:lncRNA
CAGAUACCGGGCUUCAGAGGAAUUGCUGCUGCUAUACCCCACCUUUAUUUUUACCCACAAAGGUCCAAAAUGGUAGAAAGUGUCCGGCCAACAGACAGAUAACAAUUUUGCAUUGCGUUCUCAACAUUACAUUUUUAAGGGCAAUAAUAGCCUACCUUUGUUUACAACUCGCAGGAUUUCCAUGCUUGAGCUUUCAACCGUUGCAUCAGCAUGAGAUUGGAAGUGCGUCAAAUCUGUACAGCAUUGCUACGUCAUCACUGAUAAAUGUUGAAACUGAUCAGAAACCACGGGAGCAGUUCAGUCUGAUUCUCGCUAGUGCUGGAGGAGCGUUCAUUUUGGCAAGGAAAUGUGCUGAUUUUGCAAGGACAUGGAGAAUAAAGAGUUUGAGGAGUCAGAGGCCAGUAGGAAUGACCUCACCCUCAUAGACCUGGAUCAAUGAUGCUGAUGUUAUGAAGGAAGUCAGAUCCAAUAAAGAUCACAGAGAGGCUGAGAAACAUCUCAGUCACAGGAGGUUGAUGGAGAGAGUGAGUUGGACGAGGCCGUUGUCAUCCCAUCUCAGUCACAGGAGGUUGAAGGAGAGAGUGAAAUGGACGAGGCCGUUGUCAUCCCAUCUCAGUCACAGGAGGUUGACGGAGAGAGUGAAUUGGACAAGGCUGUUGUCAUCCCAUCUCAGUCAAAGAAGGUUGAAGGAGAGAUUGAGUUGGACGAGGCAUUGUCAUCCCAUCUCAGUCACAGGAGGUUGAAGGAGAGAGUGAGUUGGACGAGGCCAUUGUCAUCCAUCUCAGUCACAAAAGGCAGCUGUGGUGACCUUCACUACUGUGACCCCCCAAGGCUGCAGCCUCCCAGACCAGCCUCACCCUCAGCAGGG